ACGGGAGGCAGCAGUGAGGAAUAUUGGUCAAUGGUCGGAAGCCUGAACCAGCCAAGUCGCGUGCAGGAAGACGGUCCUAUGGAUUGUAAACUGCUUUUGUACGGGAAUAAAGUGGGGGACGUGUCCCCUUUGGAAUGUACCGUAAGAAUAAGGGUCGGCUAACUCCGUGCCAGCAGCCGCGGUAAUACGGAGGACCCGAGCGUUAUCCGGAUUUAUUGGGUUUAAAGGGUGCGCAGGCGGAGGAUUAAGUCAGCGGUGAAAUUCUCAUGCUCAACAUGAGAACUGCCAUUGAUACUGGCCCCCUUGAGAGAUGUCGAGGAUGGCGGAAUGUGAUGUGUAGCGGUGAAAUGCUUAGAUACGCUGCAGAACUCCGAUUGCGAAGGCAGCUGUCCAGAGAUGCAAUGACGCUCAGGCACGAAAGCAUGGGGAUCGAACAGGAUUAGAUACCCUGGUA
rnacentral:rRNA from 1 species